rnacentral:rRNA from 1 species
CAGCAGCCGCGGUAAUACGUAGGGCGCAAGCGUUAUCCGGAAUUAUUGGGCGUAAAGAGCUCGUAGGCGGUUUGUCGCGUCUGCCGUGAAAGUCCGGGGCUCAACCCCGGAUCUGCGGUGGGUACGGGCAGACUAGAGUGAUGUAGGGGAGACUGGAAUUCCUGGUGUAGCGGUGAAAUGCGCAGAUAUCAGGAGGAACACCGAUGGCGAAGGCAGGUCUCCGGGCAUUAACUGACGCUGAGGAGCGAAAGCAUGGGGAGUGAACAGGAUUAGAUACCCCUGUAGUCCCUGUCUCUUAUAC